rnacentral:rRNA from 1 species
ACGUAGGGGGCAAGCGUUGAUCGGAAUCACUGGGCUUACAGCGUGCGCAGGCGGUUCGCUAAGACAGGUGUGAAAUCCCCGGGCUUAACCUGGGAAUGGCGCUUGUGACUGGCGGGCUGGAGUACGGCUGAGGGGCGUGGAAUUCCACGUGUAGCAGUGAAAUGCGUAGAGAUGUGGAGGAACACCGAUGGCGAAGGCAGCCCCCUGGGCCGACACUGACGCUCAUGCACGAAAGCGUGGGGAGCAAACAG